GGGAAAUUCAAACUGCGGAAAUGUAUCGUCUUCAUUCUUUGCGGCACAUCGUGGACCUGAUGCUCCUGUUCGAACGGAGUGGAGUAUGUUGGUGACACCGCGCAAGAGUCCCUGUAGGUCUGUCCCCGUGCACAGGAUCCCCCUGAACUCUGUGACCCCUGUGAAGGACUUGCUCACACUUGGAGAUGGAGGGCACGCUGAGUUCAUUUGUCCUAACCCUGUGGAUUUCAGAACGAGAUCAACCACCACCUCCUCUCUCUCACAAUGGGAGAGGACCUGCUUUGGAAAUCAGACCACUCGGGGCCUUCGUCCGUGUCAAACGGGGAACACGUCCCUGGACACACUGUGUCAGGCUUCGGCUGACUCGCCAGCCAAAAUAUUUGCCAGAAUGAAAGCAAAACUGGUGAAUGGCAGGGGGUUUUCGGCCACACAGAGACAGACCUCGAGCGAAGAUGCGCACCAGGGGCUGUUUAAAACUCCCAAGAAAAGCGUGAACCAGGAUCUUGAGCAGAGUCAUGAAAUGGAGAUCCUAACGCUGUCCCCAUCACCAUCAACAGCAGCCUGUGGAAGAAGCCACAGAUUCCAAAGGGGUUUGUCACAGAGCGAGGCCACACUUCACGGAGGACAGCCUGGAAUCCUUAAAGGCACCAGCACUGCAAGUGGUGUGAGUUCUCCGCUAAAAUGGGCAAGUUCCGCAUGCCCCAGUGCCCAUGGUGUGCAACAUAAAGAAUGGAAACAACCCAUGUGUACAAAUGGAAGUGAUCACAAGAUGCCAUAUGUCUUACCUCAAGUUCCCACGAGUAACCUGCCUUUUUUCAACACACUGGGAGCAGAGCUUCCACACAGCUCUCCAGCUAAGAUGUUUGCCCAGAUGAAAGAGAGAGUGCAGCUGAUGCAGCGGCAUGAAGAAAACAACCGCAUAAAAAGCACUGUAGAUAACAGAAAUGGAAAUUACAUUAAUGAAUCUCAUAAGCAAAGUCCAACAGUGAGGAGUGGGGAUGAUGGUGAUAGUGAGCUUUCCCUGGACAAGGACUUCACUGUGGAUGUGCCCAGCAUUGCAUCCAGCAGAUCAAAUGCUCCAUCAGAUAUUUGCACCUCUCUGGUGGCUGCGGAGCCAGUAAAUGGGUCCCCUGUGCCUGCGUCCAAAGGGCCUGUUGAUCAGCACCUCUGCAAACUCAUGGAGGACCCCCUAUUGCAGAGAACUCCUAGGAUCUGUAUCCCGAAGAAGAAAGCAAUGGAAUUUCAGAGUAUUGUAGAGUCAGAGUCAUCAGCAAAAGCAGAGGUUGCUGGAAGUAUAGUUCAUCUUAGGCAAUGGCAGAUCAAAGUAAUACAUAAUGGCUUCUUUGUGGAUGGGGUGCGCAUGGACAACAAACUUCCAUGGCAUAGCAACAUAAUUGCUCAGCGAGUUGCAUGCAACAUCCUGAAGACAGUCACUGGCAGCACUUAUGUGCUAGUGGGCAAC
rnacentral:lncRNA from 1 species